AUGUAUGGCUACCAGGCCAUGUCCAAGAGGUUCCAGAGGGGCGUCCCCUUCGUGCUCGAUUUCUCCAUCGUCGCCGACCAGAACAGUUCCUGCCCACCGGAAGGCCAGCAGCCGCCUCACAACUAUGUCUGCCUCAGCGGCAACAGCUUCUGCACCAACACAAGCAAAUUAUCCGGCUAUAACUAUGUCUGCUGGUGCGACGAGUAUUAUGAGGGCAACCCUUACCUCACCAAUGGAUGCCAAGAUAUCGAUGAAUGCAAGAACCCUGAAUUGUAUCCAUGCUCGAGCAAUGGGGUCUGCAAGAACAGGCUUCGAGGCUACGACUGUCCAUGCAAGCGCGGAAUGAAGGGUGAUGGCAUAGCAGGAACCUGCAAAGAGAUAUUCCCUCUAGUUGCUAAGGUGAUUGUGGCGGCAGCAGCUUUUAUUCUAGCCAUGGUUGCAUUAUUCAUUUAUUUUCUUUGGAAAGAGAAGAAGAAGACGAAUGAGUUUUACACAAGGAACGGCGGGCCUAUAUUAGAGAAGGCAAAAUUCAUAAAAAUCUUCAAAAAGGAAGAGCUCAAGCCCAUUAUAAAGAAAAGCAAUUUCAUAGGAAAAGGUGGCUUCGGUGAAGUUUACAAGGGCCUCAUUGGAAAUUAA
rnacentral:rRNA from 1 species